rnacentral:lncRNA from 10 species
UUCUCUGUUUCCUCUAUGGUAAGGACCCUCCACAUUUUAAGCUAGGCAGAUGGCUGCCCAGAAUAAAGACUACCAAUAAAGGUGCAAUCAUGUUCCUAAGUUCUUAGUAACAGGAUGUAGUAGAAAUAUGGCAUGGCAGAUUCCAAGAUCUUUCCUAAAGGGACACACUUUGCUUUCCUAUCUCCCUUCCUCAUUGCUGUGUAUAAACAUAUACUGCCAUCUUCCACCUUGGGGUUGCGGCUCAUACAGUGGCCACAAGACAGAAGGAACCUGGGCCCUGAUAAAAUCAAGUGUUAUAUUUACCUUAGACUGCCUAUGCAGGUUUUGACAAGAGCUACAAUGGUUUUUCUACCACUCAUAACUGACAUAAAUUAUAACAUACAAGUUAGUUUCCAAUUUUUGAUAUUGUACACUAUAUAGCAGUGAACAUUGUGCAAUAUAUCUUUAUUUUUUGGAAAUGUAUAAUAGUUUACUGUUGUAAUUCAUUUAUAACAUGUGUUGGACAACUUAGCUAAUAUGUUAAUUGAUUUAUACAAUUCCUUUCAAUUUUAUCUAAAAAUAGCAGACCAAAAUUAAAUAAGAAAGUUACAUAAGAUUCCAUUUGAGCAUACAUAAGGCCAUGAUACUUUAAUGUGAACCACCAUUUCUUGGAAGAAAGAAGACAUCCAAAUGUCCGAUUCAGAGAGAAAGUUCCUGGCCAGUCAUCCAGUAGACUCUCUCCACUCUUCAAUGUGAAGGUAUGGCCCAUCUCCUGUACGCUUGGAGCGACCUUUGGCUAUGUGGCUGGCCUUGUUAUUUCACCACUCUGGAUAUACUGGAAUAGAAAGCAACUUACAUACCAGAACAAUUAACCGGAACAAAGGGAGAUAUUUCUUUGUGCAGAUUCUGUAAGGGCUGUGCAGAAAUGUGUAUGGUCAAAGCCAAGCAGUUCCAUUUACAGCUCUGUUUUUUAUGUAGUUACAACAUGAUGUGAUUGUAGCUUUUUAAACUAUGAAACCUCUGAGAGAUUGUACCUUCUAGU